rnacentral:rRNA from 1 species
UAAGAGGUCCCGCCUGCCCAGUGACCCUGUUUAACGGCCGCAGUACCCUAACUGCGCGAAGGUAGCAUAAUCACUUGUCUUUUAAAUGAGGACUCGUAUCAACGGCAUCACGAGGGUUCCGCUGUCUCCCUUUUCUAAUCAGUGAAACUAAUCCCCCCGUGAAGAGGCGGGGAUAAACAUAUAAGACGAGAAGACCCCAUGGAGCUUUAAAUCUAGCUACACCCCCUAAUCAUACACCCUCUCACCAACAGGGGUCCUAUAUGCUAGACUUUAGGUUGGGGCGACCACGG